CGGAGAAUAGCUCAGCUUGGCUAGAGCGCUGCGUUCGGGACGCAGAGGUCGCAGGUUCAAAUCCUGUUUCUCCGA
rnacentral:tRNA from 2 species